AAAAGGACGGCGAAAUUACCAGACCAGGACUUGAGAUACUAAUGCAUCUGGUUACGGAUUUAAGAGCAGUCGUACCGACAGAUCCUGAAAACGAGACAUGAGUAAAAUGUGAAUUGAAGAAGCUAAUAUAUGUUCAUCACCUAUUGGAAAUCAAGACUUUGCCCACCUUGUGUGUUCAAUCUGACACGACAGGACCCGGAUGAGGGAGUCGAAACCCUAUCCACAGCAGUUGUUGGUGGGACAGAGCCGUCAAAGUUGAGUCUUCCUUUCACAAGGCCCCUCUUGUUAGACUUGGCAGUUUGUAGGAGUCAAGUCUUGCGGAGUGAUAGACUUAUCACUCUUAGGAGAUGCUUGCAUUUGCGGGGUGUUAGGGCAAGUCGAAGUG